rnacentral:rRNA from 1 species
CCUACGGGGUGCAGCAGUCGAGAAUCAUUCACAAUGGGGGAAACCCUGAUGGUGCGACGCCGCGUGGGGGAAUGAAGGUCUUCGGAUUGUAAACCCCUGUCAUGUGGGAGCAAAUGAAAAAGAUAGUACCACAAGAGGAAGAGACGGCUAACUCUGUGCCAGCAGUCGCGGUAAUACAGAGGUCUCAAGCGUUGUUCGGAAUCACUGGGCGUAAAGCGUGCGUAGGCUGUUUCGUAAGUCGUGUGUGAAAGGCGAGGGCUCAACCCGCGGACGGCACAUGAUACUGCGAGACUAGAGUAAUGGAGGGGGAACCGGAAUUCUCGGUGUAGCAGUGAAAUGCGUAGAUAUCGAGAGGAACACUCGUGGUGAAGGCGGGUUCCUGGACAUUAACUGACGCUGAGGCACGAAGGCCAGGGGAGCGAAAGGGAUUAGAUACCCCAGUAGUC